rnacentral:rRNA from 1 species
GAUGAACGCUGGCGGCGUGCCUAAUACAUGCAAGUCGAGCGAACAGACGAGGAGCUUGCUCCUCUGACGUUAGCGGCGGACGGGUGAGUAACACGUGGAUAACCUACCUAUAAGACUGGGAUAACUUCGGGAAACCGGAGCUAAUACCGGAUAAUAUAUUGAACCGCAUGGUUCAAUAGUGAAAGACGGUUUUGCUGUCACUUAUAGAUGGAUCCGCGCCGCAUUAGCUAGUUGGUAAGGUAACGGCUUACCAAGGCGACGAUGCGUAGCCGACCCGGGAGGGUGAUCGGCCACACUGGAACUGAGACACGGUCCAGACUCCUACGGGAGGCAGCAGUAGGGAAUCUUCCGCAAUGGGCGAAAGCCUGACGGAGCAACGCCGCGUGAGUGAUGAAGGUCUUCGGAUCGUAAAACUCUGUUAUUAGGGAAGAACAAAUGUGUAAGUAACUAUGCACGUCUUGACGGUACCUAAUCAGAAAGCCACGGCUAACUACGUG